GACGAACGCUGGCGGCGUGCUUAACACAUGCAAGUCGAACGGAAAGGCCCUGCUUUUGUGGGGUGCUCGAGUGGCGAACGGGUGAGUAACACGUGAGUAACCUGCCCUUGACUUUGGGAUAACUUCAGGAAACUGGGGCUAAUACCGGAUAGGAGCUCCUGCUGCAUGGUGGGGGUUGGAAAGUUUCGGCGGUUGGGGAUGGACUCGCGGCUUAUCAGCUUGUUGGUGGGGUAGUGGCUUACCAAGGCUUUGACGGGUAGCCGGCCUGAGAGGGUGACCGGCCACAUUGGGACUGAGAUACGGCCCAGACUCCUACGGGAGGCAGCAGUGGGGAAUAUUGCACAAUGGGCGGAAGCCUGAUGCAGCAACGCCGCGUGCGGGAUGACGGCCUUCGGGUUGUAAACCGCUUUCGCCUGUGACGAAGCGUGAGUGACGGUAAUGGGUAAAGAAGCACCGGCUAACUACGUGCCAGCAGCCGCGGUGAUACGUAGGGUGCGAGCGUUGUCCGGAUUUAUUGGGCGUAAAGGGCUCGUAGGUGGUUGAUCGCGUCGGAAGUGUAAUCUUGGGACUUAACCCUGAGCGUGCUUUCGAUACGGGUUGACUUGAGGAAGGUAGGGGAGAAUGGAAUUCCUGGUGGAGCGGUGGAAUGCGCAGAUAUCAGGAGGAACACCAGUGGCGAAGGCGGUUCUCUGGGCCUUUCCUGACGCUGAGGAGCGAAAGCGUGGGGAGCGAACAGGCUUAGAUACCCUGGUAGUCCACGCUGUAAACGGUGGGUACUAGGUGUGGGGUCCAUUCCACGGGUUCCGUGCCGUAGCUAACGCUUUAAGUACCCCGCCUGGGGAGUACGGCCGCAAGGCUAAAACUCAAAGGAAUUGACGGGGCCCCGCACAAGCGGCGGAGCAUGCGGAUUAAUUCGAUGCAACGCGUAGAACCUUACCUGGGUUUGACAUGGAUCGGGAGUGCUCAGAGAUGGGUGUGCCUCUUUUGGGGUCGGUUCACAGGUGGUGCAUGGCUGUCGUCAGCUCGUGUCGUGAGAUGUUGGGUUAAGUCCCGCAACGAGCGCAACCCUUGUUCACUGUUGCCAGCACGUUAUGGUGGGGACUCAGUGGAGACCGCCGGGGUCGACUCGGAGGAAGGUGGGGAUGACGUCAAGUCAUCAUGCCCCUUAUGUCCAGGGCUUCACGCAUGCUACAAUGGCUGGUACAGAGAGUGGCGAGCCUGUGAGGGUGAGCGAAUCUCGGAAAGCCGGUCUCAGUUCGGAUUGGGGUCUGCAACUCGACCUCAUGAAGUCGGAGUCGCUAGUAAUCGCAGAUCAGCAACGCUGCGGUGAAUACGUUCCCGGG
rnacentral:rRNA from 1 species